AUCUUCAGCUUCGAUAACAUCGAUGUAUGGAACAAAAGUCAACACCCAAUACUUGAUGUUUUGGUGAGGUUCUUCUCUCUUUUUGAGGAGGAAAAGAAGUGUAUUCUACAAAGGUUUUUGAGAGAAUGCCUGGGGAGCUGUAAACAUGGCAAAAUAAACCACAACAGAGGUAAUACAAAUUAGAGACCAGGACUGCUGACAGGGUUUCUCAUGCACCGACUAUAAUAACUUACCUCCAAGUUUUCAACAAAGAAGGGCUUUAUGAGGCACCUGCCAUUUGUCAUGGAAUCAACUGCUAUCUUUUAAAAUAGCCUGUUUCUCUGGGCAUAGGCAACAAUGAUCUUAAAUCACAUAGAUAAGAAGUUUGAUCCACCUUUUCCCCUCUUCCUCUUUGAGGUGGGAUGCUGUGUCUAGGAAGACACAAGCUAAAAUUCAUUAUUCCUUAUUACAUGUAAGUGCUUACAGAAAUGAUCAGACUUCUCUAAAGCUCAGUGGUUUUCAGCCCCAUCAAAUGUCCUCCCAGGUUCAUUUGCAGAAACUGGCUUUGUUUAUCAGUGUGUAUUGCCAGUGUGUUUGCAACACUUGCAGUGCAGGAAAAUGCAUGCCGUAAAUGAACUCUUGUUGCUUCGCAUCUGUGAGUUCUUCACAGAAUCACAGAAUCAUAGAAUUGCAGGAGCUGGAAGAGACCUCAAGGGAUCAAGUUCAACCCCCCUGCUACAGCAGGUACCCUACAGUAGGUCGCACAGAGGGCUAAAACUGGGACCCAAUCCACAUCUCAGUGAAGUCAGCAGGAGUCCUUCCAUUGACUUCAAUGGGCGUUUAAUCCAGCCUCUGUUUGGUCUCCAGUUUCUGGUUAUUAAACUUCUUUCCUCCUUACUGAUGAUAAAGACAGGUUUCAGUGUGGUUGGCAUGCAGCACACGUCAAUCCCACCCUUAGCCAUGAGCUUCUUAAGGGGAUGCAUCUACCAAAAGCACCUUUCCUGGGAGAAGGGACUGCUGUGGAACUUGACACUGUCAAACUCUUCUUCUCUGCUACUUCUCACAGCUUUUGUUAUGCUUCUUAUACUCUCAUUGUUCAAGGAAAAAUUGUUUCAAAGCUCUGAUUUUUGCAAGUCUUCCUGAUGUUAGCUCUUUUCUUUGAGUGCCAGCUGUCCUAGGAUUUAGGUAACUAAACUAUUUGAUUGAUAACAAAUAACAGCCUCAUACCCAGAGUUUUGGAUGUGUCUUGUAAGUAGUGUGCCUCAAACCAGUUCGCAAUUAAUUAAUAACCCACGUCAUCUAACAAAGCCAAAUCUAGCAACAUCAGUAUUUAAAAUCUCAUUCUGGUAGCUCACAGAAAUCACUAAAAACCCAAGUUCUGGAAAUCACUUUGCCUUAAAAAAUGUUUUCCUUCCACUAAUGUACUUGUUAAGUUUGAAGCUAUUUGUGCUGCUGCUGAUGCCAUUAAAACAUUGAAAAU